AUUAUUUGUUAUCACAACAUUCAAUAGAGAGUGAUGAUAAAUAUUUUUUUUUCCAUUUCAUUCGUCAAUGACACUUACUUACAAAUUUCAAAAAUCUUUUGAUUGUCGCCAAAGUAAUUGUUGAAACUCAUCAUUUACUGUGUGAGUGCAAGAAAGAUCAUUAUCUUUAUUUUCUUCGUGUCAGAAACAGAUCAAAAUGAUACUGAAAGCAGUUGACAUUAUAAAAGUUUUUAUUUUUAAAAAUAUAUUAUUUGUGAUGGAAAAAAAAAAAAAAUACUUUUUGCAAUAAAUUUUUUAAAUUAAUAUUCUAUUUGUUUUUAUAAAAGAAAAAUAAACUUGUUUCAAAUCUGCUACUAAAUGAUUAAUUAACAAUUUAUUGGGUAGUGCAAGAUGAAAGGUAGUGUACAUAUUUAAUUAAACUGAGUUGACAAUCUGUGGAUUACUUGAAGACAACACAUGACUUAAAUCCGUACUCUGGUAUUUCUUAACAAAUAAUUAGUCAUGCUAAAAUAAUUGAGCUAAUAAUUAUUAGCGAUGAUCUUUAAGCUGUCAUCAGUUUCAUUUCGCUUGACUCAGAGUUUAAAAAGGUGCAAACUGUUGAAGAAUGAAAUCUGCUACGUUAUGACAAUGAAUAAAUAAAUUAAAAAACUCAUUCAUAAUUUGGUGUAAGGUAAUGAAGACGAAUCAGAAGUUAACAUGAAACAGAGAGGCCAAAAAUCACCUGAAAAGGAUCCUAAUAAUUGUUUAGAAGAAGCCAACGACUUGUAUUAAAAAAUUUUGUAUUGAAUCAUUCAUUAUGGAGAAAAGUUUAUGGUAAAAGUUACAGUAUACUAUGGAAAUGGUUCACUCUUGAAAAAGUAAAUCAGACAGUUCUUAAACCAGUUUAUGCUGAUUUUCAAUUUAUUUCUUAAAAAAUUCAGUGAUACUGAAAGUAGUCGACGUCUAAUAAUUUUUGAAUUUUUUUUAAAAAGAGUAAAUUAUAAAAAAAUACAUUUUAAGAAAUUGCACCUAUAGUUUUUUUAAUUUCUUACAUGUGCAUAUUUUGACUUAAAUUUUUUAUUCUUUCUUUGUAAUUAAUUUGUGGAAAAAAAAAAAAAAAAAAAAAAAAAAAAUACGAAAAUUAUGAAUUGUCUGGUAACUUCAGGAUCAUAACAUUCAUAAUAAAAUUUCCGGUUCCCUAUCACUUUCAUUAUCAUAAAGUAGUGUCCCAAGAAAAUUUUUACUUGGAUUAAGAAAUUUUACGCAUAUGAAAAAUCAAAGACAAAAAUUUUUUCGGAGCAAGAAAAAAUUUUUUGGGGCGAGAAAAAAAUUGAAAAGUGAAUAAUUAAAUAAUUCAAAUGGCUGCAAAUCAAUUUCAAUAAACUACGGCCCCACCAUCAAAGAACAGUUGCUGAAGAACGUUGCUAAAGUUUGCGGCGAGUACAUGGCUCGUGACCCAGAAGAAGUCCGCUUCACAAUGAUUGCCCUGGUGGCCAUUGAGCAGUGAUUCACAAUAAUUCAACAAAUAAUUAUCAAAUAAUCCUUUCUUAUAACUAAGAAAAAUAUUUAAAAUAUCAAAAUUAGAUAUUACAAUUAUUAUGACAAGGAAUCAAAUCAAAUUAAAUAAAUCAGUGUGCAAUACAAUUCCGAUUGAAUUUUUGAUUUGAUAAUUCAUGUAAAACUUCGUACUAUAAAUGUUUGUGAUCUUUUUUUAAACACAUGUAUUUAACGGAACUUUAAAUUUAAAAUAAAAUUAAAAAUAAUUAUUUUGCAAAGGAAACUCUUUUAAUUUUAAUUUUUAAUUUAUAAAAGUUUAUUAGAGUGAAAUAGUGAAUUCUAGUAAUGGAAGUGAAUAUAAAUUUUAAUUUAAAUCCUGUAACUGCGCUCUUUUGAUUAAUUAGUUGUUACUUUAAUGUCAAUUGAAAAUUGAUAAUGAUUAUUAAUAAUAAGAAGGUGGCUAGUGAAUAAGUGAAUACUGGAUUACGAGUAAACAAACAAAGUUUCAUUUUAUUUUUUGUUUUAAAUGAAGAAAGUCAAUAUCGGUUAUAGAUUGUAUUGAUAAUGCAGGUUUUAAUGCACCAUCAGCGACCCCCUUCUAUUAUCCUAGUCCACUAUAAAACUUUAUGUCAAUAAAUAUAAUA